GACGAACGCUGGCGGCGUGCUUAACACAUGCAAGUCGAACGGAAAGGCCCUGCUUUUGUGGGGUGCUCGAGUGGCGAACGGGUGAGUAACACGUGAGUAACCUGCCCUUGACUUUGGGAUAACUUCAGGAAACUGGGGCUAAUACCGGAUAGGAGCUCCUGCUGCAUGGUGGGGGUUGGAAAGUUUCGGCGGUUGGGGAUGGACUCGCGGCUUAUCAGCUUGUUGGUGGGGUAGUGGCUUACCAAGGCUUUGACGGGUAGCCGGCCUGAGAGGGUGACCGGCCACAUUGGGACUGAGAUACGGCCCAGACUCCUACGGGAGGCAGCAGUGGGGAAUAUUGCACAAUGGGCGGAAGCCUGAUGCAGCAACGCCGCGUGCGGGAUGACGGCCUUCGGGUUGUAAACCGCUUUCGCCUGUGACGAAGCGUGAGUGACGGUAAUGGGUAAAGAAGCACCGGCUAACUACGUGCCAGCAGCCGCGGUGAUACGUAGGGUGCGAGCGUUGUCCGGAUUUAUUGGGCGUAAAGGGCUCGUAGGUGGUUGAUCGCGUCGGAAGUGUAAUCUUGGGGCUUAACCCUGAGCGUGCUUUCGAUACGGGUUGACUUGAGGAAGGUAGGGGAGAAUGGAAUUCCUGGUGGAGCGGUGGAAUGCGCAGAUAUCAGGAGGAACACCAGUGGCGAAGGCGGUUCUCUGGGCCUUUCCUGACGCUGAGGAGCGAAAGCGUGGGGAGCGAACAGGCUUAGAUACCCUGGUAGUCCACGCUGUAAACGGUGGGUACUAGGUGUGGGGUCCAUUCCACGGGUUCCGUGCCGUAGCUAACGCUUUAAGUACCCCGCCUGGGGAGUACGGCCGCAAGGCUAAAACUCAAAGGAAUUGACAGGGCCCCGCACAAGCGGCGGAGCAUGCGGAUUAAUUCGAUGCAACGCGUAGAACCUUACCUGGGUUUGACAUGGAUCGGGAGCGCUCAGAGAUGGGUGUGCCUCUUUUGGGGUCGGUUCACAGGUGGUGCAUGGCUGUCGUCAGCUCGUGUCGUGAGAUGUUGGGUUAAGUCCCGCAACGAGCGCAACCCUUGUUCACUGUUGCCAGCACGUUAUGGUGGGGACUCAGUGGAGACCGCCGGGGUCAACUCGGAGGAAGGUGGGGAUGACGUCAAGUCAUCAUGCCCCUUAUGUCCAGGGCUUCACGCAUGCUACAAUGGCUGGUACAGAGAGUGGCGAGCCUGUGAGGGUGAGCGAAUCUCGGAAAGCCGGUCUCAGUUCGGAUUGGGGUCUGCAACUCGACCUCAUGAAGUCGGAGUCGCUAGUAAUCGCAGAUCAGCAACGCUGCGGUGAAUACGUUCCCGGGGCU
rnacentral:rRNA from 1 species